rnacentral:rRNA from 4 species
UUAAAUUGAAGAGUUUGAUCAUGGCUCAGAUUGAACGCUGGCGGCAGGCCUAACACAUGCAAGUCGAACGGUAACAGGAAGCAGCUUGCUGCUUUGCUGACGAGUGGCGGACGGGUGAGUAAUGUCUGGGAAACUGCCUGAUGGAGGGGGAUAACUACUGGAAACGGUGGCUAAUACCGCAUAACGUCGCAAGACCAAAGAGGGGGACCUUCGGGCCUCUUGCCAUCAGAUGUGCCCAGAUGGGAUUAGCUUGUUGGUGAGGUAACGGCUCACCAAGGCGACGAUCCCUAGCUGGUCUGAGAGGAUGACCAGCCACACUGGAACUGAGACACGGUCCAGACUCCUACGGGAGGCAGCAGUGGGGAAUAUUGCACAAUGGGCGCAAGCCUGAUGCAGCCAUGCCGCGUGUAUGAAGAAGGCCUUCGGGUUGUAAAGUACUUUCAGCGGGGAGGAAGGUGUUGUGGUUAAUAACCGCAGCAAUUGACGUUACCCGCAGAAGAAGCACCGGCUAACUCCGUGCCAGCAGCCGCGGUAAUACGGAGGGUGCAAGCGUUAAUCGGAAUUACUGGGCGUAAAGCGCACGCAGGCGGUCUGUCAAGUCGGAUGUGAAAUCCCCGGGCUCAACCUGGGAACUGCAUUCGAAACUGGCAGGCUUGAGUCUUGUAGAGGGGGGUAGAAUUCCAGGUGUAGCGGUGAAAUGCGUAGAGAUCUGGAGGAAUACCGGUGGCGAAGGCGGCCCCCUGGACAAAGACUGACGCUCAGGUGCGAAAGCGUGGGGAGCAAACAGGAUUAGAUACCCUGGUAGUCCACGCCGUAAACGAUGUCUACUUGGAGGUUGUGCCCUUGAGGCGUGGCUUCCGGAGCUAACGCGUUAAGUAGACCGCCUGGGGAGUACGGCCGCAAGGUUAAAACUCAAAUGAAUUGACGGGGGCCCGCACAAGCGGUGGAGCAUGUGGUUUAAUUCGAUGCAACGCGAAGAACCUUACCUGGUCUUGACAUCCACGGAAGUUUUCAGAGAUGAGAAUGUGCCUUCGGGAACCGUGAGACAGGUGCUGCAUGGCUGUCGUCAGCUCGUGUUGUGAAAUGUUGGGUUAAGUCCCGCAACGAGCGCAACCCUUAUCCUUUGUUGCCAGCGAUUCGGUCGGGAACUCAAAGGAGACUGCCAGUGAUAAACUGGAGGAAGGUGGGGAUGACGUCAAGUCAUCAUGGCCCUUACGACCAGGGCUACACACGUGCUACAAUGGCGCAUACAAAGAGAAGCGACCUCGCGAGAGCAAGCGGACCUCAUAAAGUGCGUCGUAGUCCGGAUUGGAGUCUGCAACUCGACUCCAUGAAGUCGGAAUCGCUAGUAAUCGUGGAUCAGAAUGCCACGGUGAAUACGUUCCCGGGCCUUGUACACACCGCCCGUCACACCAUGGGAGUGGGUUGCAAAAGAAGUAGGUAGCUUAACCUUCGGGAGGGCGCUUACCACUUUGUGAUUCAUGACUGGGGUGAAGUCGUAACAAGGUAACCGUAGGGGAACCUGCGGUUGGAUCACCUCCUUACCUUAAAGAAGC